UACGGGGGGGAGCAAGCGUUGUUCGGAUUUACUGGGCGUAAAGGGCGCGUAGGCGGCGUGACAAGUCACUUGUGAAAUCUCCGGGCUUAACUCGGAGCGGCCAAGUGAUACUGUCGUGCUAGAGUGCGGAAGGGGCUACUGGAAUUCUCGGUGUAGCGGUGAAAUGCGUAGAUAUCGAGAGGAACACCUGCGGCGAAGGCGGGUAGCUGGGCCGACACUGACGCUGAGGCGCGAAAGCUAGGGGAGCGAACAGG
rnacentral:rRNA from 1 species